rnacentral:rRNA from 1 species
UACGAAGGUGGCAAGCGUUACUCGGAAUUACUAGGCGUAAAGGGCAGGUAGGCGGUCUCGUUAGUCUGUUGUGAAAGCUCCUUGCUUAACGGGGAGAGGCCAACAGAUACUGCGAGGCUUGGGUAUAGGAGAGGGUACUGGAAUUCCCGGUGUAGCGGUGAAAUGCGCAGAGAUCGGGAGGAACACCAAUGGCGAAAGCAGGUACCUGGACUAUUACUGACGCUAAGCUGCGAAAGCUAGGGGAGCAAACAGG